UUGCUGGCUACCCCAUCAUCGUCUCUCCCCGUCCUCAACAUGUGUGCAGACGCGGCACCACGGGUCUGCCGUCUCCAGGCCUUCCUGACGCGGCGGCCCUUGGGGCGAGGGACGAAGGAGCCUCGCCAUGGCUUCGUCCUCUUGUUCGUCCUCUCAUCCUGCACCAUCAUGUGUUCGCCAGCGACGAAGGAGCAGCCGCGGUUGAUCCUGCACCAUCCUGUGGCCGUCACGCAUGUAGCCGCCGUCCACCACACCGGCACGCCAUCUAAUGUGCAGGUACGGCGAACAACCCCAUAUCCCUCCUAAUCCUUUUUUUUUUUUGCCCUCACAUGGAUGCGCAGAGGUAGAGAUUAGAGAGCGUGCACUUGCAAGCUUUUCGUCUAGAAAAAUGUCUCAGAAUCAACUGAUUCAUGGUGUUACUGUCUAUUUAGACAUCUCCAUAUUACUGUCUCACUGAAACUUACACUCCUUGAUUCAAUGCCGCACCCGGGAGCUGCCGCCUCCACCGGGGACAUGGACACACACAGGGCGACUGCUGGCGAACGAUGCCGUACAUGCCAUCGCGCCUCUGCGCUGCUGCACCGCGGGCGCACAGGGGAUGUCCAUAUCAGUUGUGCGGUCGUGUCGAACUAUGAGUUGUACUGAAUUUUUCUAUAUCCAAACUGAAUUGGUCAUUAACCGCCUUCCUAUCACUCGCUAUUGCGGGUGAGAGCAGAGCGGAUGCAACCGUGGGUCAAGUCAAUUGAUCUUUGGUGGUGCGGGAAGACGCCGGGGCGCUGGACUCGGCGGGCACGGCCACUCCCGCAUACCCGGUUGUGGGCUAGGACGCGGACUCGGGUGCCGCUCCCGACGAUGAGGGACAUACCGCCGUUGGCUGGGCGAUGUGGUUUUUUUCCCGGGUCCUAGGGAUUUUACAAGAAGUUGUUUGUCCAUGCUGAUUUCUGUCGGAUGCACAUAUUUCAGAGGACAGUACUCUUCUUAUGGUUCUACUUGCAGGGAUCACCGUGCAUUGAGGACACCGAGUCAAUGGAGUUGUGUGCGGCCACGACAACGACACGCAUAAGGUUUUCUAGGCAAGUUUAAGAGGGGUUCCUUGAAGUUAUAGGCACAUCUUUUAAGAAAUCUUGUCAGAGGAAGAGACGACAGUCUUUAGAGAAUUUGAAUCAUAGGAUAUUGAUAAAUAAAGGGAUAAUUAAUCUUGAGGUACUAAGGGCUGGAUUAUAGAAGUUUGGUACCAAAUUUACCCAAUUAGAAAUAACAGUUGAUGGAGCUGGUUGCUGGUAUGUUAAUCUGAUAGCCCAGACGUUAAACAAUAUCUUCUUUUGUCCUGUAUAUGCACACUUACAUUCUUCUUCUUGCAAUUGUAUUUAUUAACUAUCUUAUUGCCUUCACAUAUACACUCAUGGAUGAUUUUUAUUUAAGAGCAUAACUUCAUGAAAGGAAGAGGUUAUAAAGUUUACUCACAUAUUCUGGUUUCGAAAACAAAAUAAGAAAGGCCAAUCUGCAGGACCUUGCUGUCCAUAGCGGGGGUGAUAUAGUCAAAGGCUCUUUUCGCUUGCUCAUUUCACAAUGGCUAUGAAGUAAUGUGGUGCACACUAUACUCUGUUAAAUGCGAAUUUACUCGUAAUCUACAUUUACAUGCUGCUUCAGCAAUUAUCAGUGUGAUAGUGUGCGCUUAGCGACGCCAGAGAAGUGAGAGAGGUCGCCGUUUGGUGUGGGUCAGAAUACUCACGCAUCUCUCUACGCUUAUUUCACUUGUUGUGUUGUCUCCAAUUGUUGCAAUACUGUCAUCUCAUUCAAUUUUGUUUUUCAGAGUUGAGAAAUGAUGGAUAAAUAACAGAAUUAUGUUCAUAUUUUCAUUAGUUUGUGCAAUUCAUUUGGAGAAAAAGUUGUUACGCUUAAUUCAUUAGUUUGUUAUAGUGAUAUUUUGAGCAGAAUGGAAAAGAUUUGGUGCGGAUCUCAAUGUGCUGAUGAAAUUACGGUCCAAUAGAGGAACCAAUGUGCUUCUGGUCUGUUCCAUAAUUGUGAAGAUCUUUUUUGGGUGGUUAUUCAUGGGCUGGACUUCACCUUCAGGUCAAUGGUCUUCUUUCUAGCAUGAAGCAGAGGAUUAUAACUACCGGGAAGCAUAGGAUGUUGUUCAUGAAUUCGACAGUAAUUUUGCCAAUUAAUAAGAGAAAAGAGGGAGAAGAAAAAUGUAUGACACAAGAAGUGGAAAUAGGUAUUCCUUAUAUUCUAGAGAUCAUGCAUGAUCAUGAAAAAUCUUGAAACAUGUACUGACAAGAGAAAGGAGGAAGUGAAGAAAAACUCUUCACAUGACAUCAUGAUAAGCUCUGUUCUGUUGUAAACAUGUUUGUAGUAUCAUUUAUCAUCAAGCACUUAAAGUGUUAUUAAGAGUAAAAUGACAUUCUCUAUGUGCUCUAGGU